GAUGAACGCUAGCUACAGGCUUAACACAUGCAAGUCGAGGGGAAACGAUAUUGGAAGCUUGCUUCCGAUAGGCGUCGACCGGCGCACGGGUGAGUAACGCGUAUCCAACCUGCCCACCACUUGGGGAUAACCUUGCGAAAGUAAGACUAAUACCCAAUGACGUCCAUAGAAGACAUCUGAAAUGGAUUAAAGAUUUAUCGGUGAUGGAUGGGGAUGCGUCUGAUUAGCUUGUUGGCGGGGGAACGGCCCACCAAGGCGGCGAUCAGUAGGGGUUCUGAGAGGAAGGUCCCCCACAUUGGAACUGAGACACGGUCCAAACUCCUACGGGAGGCAGCAGUGAGGAAUAUUGGUCAAUGGGCGAGAGCCUGAACCAGCCAAGUAGCGUGCAGGAUGACGGCCCUAUGGGUUGUAAACUGCUUUUAUAAGGGAAUAAAGUGAGUCUCGUGAGGCUUUUUGCAUGUACCUUAUGAAUAAGGACCGGCUAAUUCCGUGCCAGCCGCCGCCGUAA
rnacentral:rRNA from 1 species